UCUCUGCCCAAAACCUUUCUCUCUCCCUCUUCCAACUCGCCAGUUCUGGCGGUAAGAACCAGAGUUGGUUCUCAGCUUCAUUUCUUGGAUUUUUGCUUCUUAACCUAUGCAUGCAAAGCCUGAUUAUUAUUCACUACAUAUAGGAGCAUAUUGGGAAGCAAAAAGAUCACCAUUUCGUGGCCAAGAAGUUCAAGAAAAAGAACCAUCUUCUUCAAUCAAGAAAACAGAUAAAAAAGAAUCAAGAAUCAAGUCUUGAGGAGAAGGAGAAGUCGGAUUAUUGCUGUUAGAAGUGAAGAUUUUUGUGCAGGAACUAGCAAACUAAGGUAAACUGAGGGAAGAGCGAAUAUGAAGUCGUGUCCCAACUAUCCUAGCAGAUGCAAGCUUGAACAUGAUCACCUUUUGAGAUUUACUUCUGUUUAUGAAUACUGUUUAAACUUAUGAUUAAAAUCUUAUUUUGGGUUUGUAAUAACUAA